UUUUAAUAGCUUAUAAUUAGAGCAUGAUAUUGAAGAUAUCAAGGAGAUUAUGUCUUAAAAUAU
rnacentral:tRNA from 1 species